rnacentral:rRNA from 1 species
CCUACGGGAGGCAGCAGUGGGGAAUCUUGCGCAAUGGGCGAAAGCCUGACGCAGCCAUGCCGCGUGAAUGAUGAAGGUCUUAGGAUUGUAAAAUUCUUUCACCGGGGACGAUAAUGACGGUACCCGGAGAAGAAGCCCCGGCUAACUUCGUGCCAGCAGCCGCGGUAAUACGAAGGGGGCUAGCGUUGCUCGGAAUUACUGGGCGUAAAGGGAGCGUAGGCGGAUAGUUUAGUCAGAGGUGAAAGCCCAGGGCUCAACCUUGGAAUUGCCUUUGAUACUGGCUAUCUUGAGUGUGGGAGAGGUAUGUGGAACUCCGAGUGUAGAGGUGAAAUUCGUAGAUAUUCGGAAGAACACCAGUGGCGAAGGCGACAUACUGGCCCAUUACUGACGCUGAGGCUCGAAAGCGUGGGGAGCAAACAGGAUUAGAUACCCUGGUAGUCCACGCUGUAAACGAUGAGUGCUAGUUGUCGGCGAUGCAUGCAUGUCGGUGGACGCAGCUAACGCAUUAAGCACUCCGCCGUGGGGAGGUACGGUCGGCGAAGUAAGUUAAACGUUACGAAAGUAAGUUAGUUACGGCGUUGAGACGUGCCGACGGACGACGACGAGGGGAGGUUAGG